AUUGAACGCUGGCGGCAGGCCUAACACAUGCAAGUCGAGCGAGCGGCGGACGGGUGAGUAAUGUAUGGGGACUGCCCGAUAGAGGGGGAGAACGAAUGGAAGCGGGAGCGAAGAAAGCAUCCACUAGGACAACGCAGAUGGGAUUAGCUAGUAGGUGAGGUAAUGGCUCACCCAGGCGACGAUCCCUAGAUGGUCUGAGAGGAUGAUCAGCCACACUGGGACUGAGACACGGCCCAGACUCCUACGGAGGCAGCAGUGGGGAAUAUUGCACAAUGGGCGCAAGCCUGAUGCAGCCAUGCCGCGUGUAUGAAGAAGGCCCUAGGGUUGUAAAGUACUUUCAGUCGGGAGGCGUUACCGACAGAAGAAGCACCGGCUAACUCCGUGCCAGCAGCCGCGGUAAUUC
rnacentral:rRNA from 1 species